GUGGCAAGGUGCGCUCGAGGAGCCGCGCGCGCCGCUCAUUCAAACCAGCAAGCAGCGCGAGCGCUUUUGGAUGAAACUGGGUCAAUGUGACGAAGUCAAGGGCAGCUGACUAGAAUGUCAACAACUCAAAUAUUUCCUGAACUACAAACCCAAAAUCCCAGAGGAGCGUGAAUCAUGACGGGCAGGAAUCAUGUCCCAGAAUCCGUUUCUCCGCUCGUCUUUCUAACCACUGGACCAGGAAGUGACCAAGGAAGGAGCAGCAAAAGCAAAUGAGGUGGAUUAGCAUUGUUUGAUGACGGUGUCAUUCAGGACAUGUUGCUGGGAGAUGUUUCCUCUCCUGCCUGGAAAUGGAGCUGUUGGCAUGUCAGGACAGUCAUGCGACUGUCGUAGAGUAACAGUCUUCAGUCAGAGGCGUCUUCAGAGUCGUUGCAAGACUGACUGCUACGAGAGAUCCAUCACAAUCCACAGCUUUUUAAUGAACAAUGUAUUUCUGAUUUGAUUUGAUUUGAAAACAAACAAAUCAAAUCAGUGGACAAGAUUUAACUGGUUGUGUCACUUUCAUGAAUCUUGAUGUAUUUUAUUAGUUAGCAUAAAAUGCUGUUUACACCU